rnacentral:rRNA from 1 species
CCUACGGGUGGCAGCAGUCGAGAAUCAUUCACAAUGGGGGAAACCCUGAUGGUGCGACGCCGCGUGGGGGAAUGAAGGUCUUCGGAUUAUAAACCCCUGUCAUGUGGGAGCAAAUUAAAAAGAUAGUACCACAAGAGGAAGAGACGGCUAACUCUGUGCCAGCAGCCGCGGGAAUACAGAGGUCUCAAGCGUGGUUCGGAAUCACUGGGCGUAAAGCGUGCGGAGGCUGUUUCGUAAGUCGUGUGUGAAAGGCGCGGGCUCAACCCGCGGACGGCACAUGAUACUGCGAGACUAGAGUAAUGGAGGGGGAAGCGGAAUUCUCGGUGUAGCAGUGAAAUGCGUAGAUAUCGAGAGGAACACUAGUGGCGAAGGCGGGUUCCUGGACAUUAACUGACGCUGAGGCACGAAGGCGAGGGGAGCGAAAGGGAUUAGAUACCCCAGUAGUC